GAUGAACGCUGGCGGCGUGCCUAAUACAUGCAAGUCGAGCGAACAGACGAGGAGCUUGCUCCUCUGACGUUAGCGGCGGACGGGUGAGUAACACGUGGAUAACCUACCUAUAAGACUGGGAUAACUUCGGGAAACCGGAGCUAAUACCGGAUAAUAUAUUGAACCGCAUGGUUCAAUAGUGAAAGACGGUUUUGCUGUCACUUAUAGAUGGAUCCGCGCCGCAUUAGCUAGUUGGUAAGGUAACGGCUUACCAAGGCGACGAUGCGUAGCCGACCUGAGAGGGUGAUCGGCCACACUGGAACUGAGACACGGUCCAGACUCCUACGGGAGGCAGCAGUAGGGAAUCUUCCGCAAUGGGCGAAAGCCUGACCGAGCAACGCCGCGUGAGUGAUGAAGGUCUUCGGAUCGUAAAACUCUGUUAUUAGGGAAGAACAAAUGUGUAAGUAACUAUGCACGUCUUGACGGUACCUAAUCAGAAAGCCACGGCUAACUACGUG
rnacentral:rRNA from 1 species